UCCUUGAUCCCCAGCAGAAUCUCAUACUUAUCAUCCGUGUUGUCUACAUCUUCUUCAGUGGACGGUUUUUCUAUUCCCUGAACAACAAACAUAUCUUCCAUUGCAUAUUGACACGACAUAAAAUAAGUUUAAAAUGAUUUGAGACUUAACUAGAACUAGAAAGGACCUGAUGUUUUCUCCCAUCAAGAUCUUGCUGACUGCAAGCUACACCAGAAGAGAGAUAUUCAUGGUCAUCCUGUCGACCCCUCCAACGCUUCCGCUUACUCCUCUCUCCGCUUCUUUGAACAACUUUUGAAGUGAUAGGUUGCUGCAACCCACUAGUACUGCAAUCUGCACAAUUCCUAGCUGAU
rnacentral:lncRNA from 1 species